UAUUUUUUUUUUUUGUGCUAACUAGUAUAUAUUUUUUUCCAUUUUCCUUAUUAAAAAUCAGAUUAGAUUAGAUCUAGGCAUGUUGAUAAGACUUACUAACGAAUGUGACUGAGGCCCAAUAUAGUCAUAGUCCAAUAGUGAGCGACAACAAUUUUCCAUUCGACGGCGACACAUGAAACCGCCGUCAAACCAUGAAACCGCCGUUGCCUCUUCCUGGAAGCUCCAUUUCUGGUAGCAACCUCCGCGCGCUCCGGCGACAAUUUCUUUCGCCGAAACCCAAAAUGCUUUUUCACUUCGACGAGAAUCUUUGCAUCUUCUUGCGACAUUCUCCGACGCCGUUAACUUAUCUCAAGGGAUUCUCAAAAAUCAUCCUCUACUGUGAGGAAAUGAGACUCUUCGAUUCACGAAAUCCUGAAAUUUUUCGAUUCUUCUUCAUUUCGCAGAUUCAGUUUCGAUUCUUCUUCAUUUCGUCUUCUGUUCCUUCCGGUGACUCCAGGGGAUAACGUCCAGCAUUGGAUAGGAAGCUUAUCUAUAAAUAUAUCUGGUCUAUCAACAUAUAUGUCUUGUCUAUCAAUAAGACAGAUGAAGCAAGAGAGAACUGAUAUAGAUUCCAUUAGUCAUCUUGACAUCAGAUGGAGAUUGAUCAGUGGCAAAGGUACUUCUCCUGAAAGCCAAAUGUUCUUGAUUCCUUUGGUUCUAGUUGAUCCAAUUUCUGGGUGCAAUCUUAUUUUGAGAAUGGUGCACGGGUGAUAACUUUUCCAUCAAUGCCUGCUUCAAGUAGUCUGACUUUGAUCCUUAUAACACUUUCAAAUACCAUUCAUAACAAUCACAUGGGAAUUUGACUAUGUGAAGACAAGACUGUUGUGCUGUUUUUGACUGUUAAGUAAAAUCUCUUCCCUGUCACAAUUGAACCAGAGGUUAUAUAUGUAUUAUACACUGCGGAUAAGUAUUUAUUGGCUAUUUUCUGCUGCUGAAUUAUACAAUGCAAAUGUUGUUUGCUGGAUUACUAUGAGUCUUUUGCCAAUAGGUUUCAGAACUUCCAUCAGUUGCAACACACAUGUUCAUUGCUUAACCGAGUUUCAUGGGGUUUUAUACAAAACAAGGAUACUUUCAGUUGCUCUUUUCCUGCAUUGAGAAUCUUCUCUCAUUCCUGAAUGUUGCAAGCAUUGUGUUUGCAGGAUUCCAGCAGCUGAAGAGGCAGAUCUCUUAUGGAUGAACAACUUUGGGUUAGAAAGCUCGCACCUGAAUAGCUUGGCAAGAAUUUAAAGAUGUGCUACCAAAUGUUAGGUUUAAAGGUGCAUCCAUGCUGCAGAAGGCGGUCCAUUCACACCAAAUCAUUGACAAGAAUGAAACUUGUGCAUCUCUUGAAGAAUUUUUUGAUUUGAAACUACCCAAGAGGUCGUGUGCUUAUCCUCUGUGUUGAGGUGAAAGAUGGAUUAAAGAGACUUGUGUAAAUUUUGUUACUAAAUAUUAAUUAAUUAAUUUUUAUUUCGAUGACUUUUCAUUAUAGAAAACAUUGAUGAAAUU